rfam:Sphingobacterium antarcticus 4BY contig038, whole genome shotgun sequence.
UUGCAGUGGGCAAGUCCUUUACGAUCAGCUCCCUUUGAACUCCCCCAGGGCGGGAACGAAGCAAGGGUAGGAGGUUGUAGCGGUGCGAUAAAGGUUGCUUGCCCAUUU